CGCACAUUGCGCCCCUUGGUAUUCCGAGGGGCAUGCCUGUUCGAGCGUCAUUAUGACCACUCAAGCUUUAGCUUGGUAUUGGGGUACGCGGUCUCGCGCCCCCUAAAAUCAGUGGCGGCGCCAUCGGGCUCUAAGCGUAGUAAUCUUAUCCUCGCUAUAGAGUCCUGGUGGGUGCUUGCCAGAACCCCCCAAUCUUACGGUUGACCUCGGAUCAGGUAGGGAUACCCGCUGAACUUAA
rnacentral:misc_RNA from 1 species